UACAGAGGGUGCAAGCGUUGUUCGGAAUUAUUGGGCGUAAAGGGCGCGUAGGCGGUGCGGUAAGUCUGUAGUGAAAUCUCCUGGGCUCAACUCAGAGUCUGCUAUAGAAACUGCCGUGCUCGAGUGUGGGAGAGGUGAGUGGAAUUCCCGGUGUAGCGGUGAAAUGCGUAGAUAUCGGGGAGGAACACCUGUGGCGAAAGCGGCUCACUGGACCACAACUGACGACUGA
rnacentral:rRNA from 1 species